UUGUUCAGAAUAAAUUUCAACAGCCACAUUGCUGAUGAAAUAAAGAACACUUGCGAAAUUUGCAGAAGACCACAAGCUGAGGGAACUCCAACACUUUGAAAGUCAGAAUUGGGACACAGACUAUACUGGUGUCUCAGAGAAGAGGAUGAGAACAAAAUACUCUGCAGGGUUGUAAGGAAAAACUCCACACUCAUCAAGGAAAAUCUGCACUCCAGAACCCACAAAACUUGGAGUCACUGAUAAAACACAAAGCUAUGGAGAAGAUCUUGAGGUUAAGGAUACGGGUUACAGCAAAAAGGUAAACAUUGGACAAAUCUGUAUAUAAAAAAGAGCUCUUUGUCUGACAUACAUGUGAUGUUUUCUCCCUCUGCUCAGUGCAGAGAAAAGUGUCUAGUUUUGAACACUGAGCCCAUGAAGCUGAAGUGAGCUUGUUCCCUGUUUUGGCUCUAUGGCAUGAUUAAAGGAACUUGGUUUGUUCUGUCUAAAGAAGAGAGGAACUGAAGCAAGCACAUAAACCAUCUUUAAAAGCGUAACUGGUGAAGAGGGCAGGAAAAAACCUAAAACAGGACAAAAAUAAACAGUCAACAAGCGCACUGCUGUCACUCCAUCCCUGCUCUGAACACAAGAGACUGAAGCUCUGAUGUCUUCCUGCUGCUGCAUUAACAACAGAAAAGAGAAUGCGUAUCUUUAAGUGCCUAUGGGCAUUACCACCUUGCAGUCACCUCACUGUGAUUUCUGCCUCCUUUGUCUGUACCUGGAAAGCUCCAUGUAAAUAGGAAGCUGACACCUGGUCUAUUCUUUAUAAACAAAGCAACUCUGGUACUUUACUGGUGACUGAUUACAGCCUCAAGAAGUGCAUGUACAAAGGUUUGGAAAAACAAAAGUCAUGAUUGCACCAAAUAUAUUUUACAAGGGAUCCCUUGGAUCUGAACAAUAUAAAUAAAUACAAAACCAACUAAGAUUGCACGAUAUAGUAGAAAUGGAUUGAGAUUUCAGGAUAUACACUCCACCAUUACGAGUUCCUUGGUGAUGCUCAGUGGAAAAUUCCCCAACGACGCAUUCAGAUAUGAGCAUCUUCAGGUAAUUGUUUUGUUUAAACAUGUUUGUGUUUGUUUUUUUUUCCAGUCGUGCAGCUACUCCAUCAAUUGGUUUAUUGCAUCUCUAUGCUUAUCAGUCUUUACUGCAUUACUCCAGUUUUACAACUGCGUAAUUCUGCUGCAAGUACAAUAGUUGUACUGCGAUAAAACUGGACUGAUGCCAGCAAGGAACAGUCCCACAGCACUCGCUCUCCAUUAUUUAUAUUGCUCUCAAGCUUCAGUAUGUGGUGUAAUUUCCAAAUACAUUCGUCCUCUUUCUAUUUUGCAAAGCAAAUAAUGAAUUCCUCCUCACGCCUAUUGUUUCUGUGGUAGAAACCAACCUCCAGCAGUCAUCUGCUCCUUGCCUAGUGCAUUAGCAUUACAACCUAUCAUGAAAGAUAUGCACAAGCUUGAAAACGCGGGAUGUGAGAUUGCUUUGCCUCUUAUUUGGUGCAGCCAGUUAAAGCUAAACAAAUUAAAGGCCAGAUUCUUAUCUGACACGAGCCAGAAGCACAUCAAAGCACGCUUGCUUCAAUGGAGCAAUAUCACUUUAUAUCAAUGAGGAAGAUGGUCUUGGGAGUAAUGGAUGCAGCAUCAGUAAACCACAAUGGAAGAAUUCUGCAUAUCUUUUGCUGAGGUGCAGAUGAUUGUGUUAAAUACCAGACUUCAGAUUUUGUCACUGCUUCCGCGAUGCCAGGACCGAAAGACAUAAGCUUAAAACACGGACGGUCUGAUUUGUGCAAGCAACUAAGAGUUCAUAAAGCAAGUCUGAAAUAAAGCACUCUGAACUUGCUUUGCACUGUGUAAAUAAUUACACGAGCUGUAAGGCAGUGGAAAGUCCAGCCUCAAGUUACUUUGGAUCAGUAAUACAAAUCUUUCUGACUACAUUUGAAGACCAGUCACAUGGGAGUAUUUCAACUACUCAGCAGUCCCCCUCUGAAAUUGUGUGCAAUCAUUUAAUAGUCCAGAGUAAUACAUUUACAGUUAAAUGCAGUCUUCUUGUCUUUGGAAGCAACUAGCACGUACGCUCCUAACAGGUGGGUGACAAAAAGUAAGGAAGGGUUCUGCUGCUUCAUUACUUGGUUAUAGAAAUAACUUACUGUUUGAACCCAGAAUUUAAGGCGUAGGACCAAAUUUCUGCUCUAUUAACAUAAAAGUAAGUCAUUCCAUGUGAUUUCAGUGAAACAACUCUAACUUUACACAGGUGUGUCAAGGAGAAUUUGACCCUAGUCCCCAAAGUGGCUACUGAAAGAAGUGCUCUGUAAAGCAUGGGUUUCAGUGUAGUCUUGCUUCCCGCUGCACUCAAACGUGGGGACUUUGAAGGCAGAGUGUAUCUGAUGAAAAGCCGUGCAAAAACUGAAUGACGUUUCUUUACCUUUAAUAAUCUUCUGAUCCUCUGUUGCUUGCAGAGCAUUUGAAGUAGCUGUAGGUUGGGAUUACAGGAGGAGACAAUUCUGCAAUGCAGAGUGAGCUUUUCACUAUCUGAAUUCUGAAGCAUUCAUGAAAACAACAUCCUCAUGACUUCAACACAGAUCACAUGCAGAUUGACAUCAGAGCGAGAAAACUGAAGCAAGACAGUGUACGGCAAUUUCUUGUAACACCUGAGACUUCAACAGAUGAGGACCUUUGAAAAAGAAACCUUUGUUUGUGUAAGUGUGACUAAAAAAUUGAAUUAGAGGCUUCAAAGGACAGCAGAAUAACCCAACUGCAUAUGUCACAGUUCUAUAAAUGGUCACUGGGUAUUCUACAAGGUGAAUAUUUUUGCAUCUGAAAAGCCAAUGUAGGACUGGUUUGCUUUACUUGCUGCAUUCUACACUUAUUCAGCAUGUGUAAAUAGACCAUCAAGAGACUGUUGAGAAGAAAAAUUAUACAGCUAGAAUCUGUAUUCAUAAUCAUUGAAGAUCAUGUUCUACAAGAUUACAGAGAAAGAAAGCAUUGACCACUCUAUUUGGAAGCAAACUCUUUCUCUUGCCAUGUAUAAUCAUGCUCCAAAUCCAGCACGGUGCCUACUGAAGACCAAACUUGCUGCAUGCUGAGCGCUGCUCAAACUCAUCUCAGAGCAUAGCGUGAGAGCUUUAUAUGCUAAAGGAAAAACAGCAUUUUUUCCACGGGGUUUAGAGAUGGUAGACUUAUUCUUUUAGUCUACAAUGACAAUUUAGAAGAACAGAUAUCGAGUUAUAAAUUCAAUGAACAAUAACAUAGCAGGACCUGACCAGCUAGGUCUCACUCUUUAGGACAUGCAUUUGUCUAUUUCUACCUCAGAAGCGGGAUUACAAAACAAGAAUGCGGCCAUGCAGUACAGCGUAUGCAAAUAAAAAUAAUAAGAAAUGCGUGCAGCUCUGUUAUUUAGGACACGUUUUCUUAAGGAUCAAGCGGGCUCAUUUAAGCUUCUUCCUGAAGUUUUUACCAAGGCAAGGACAAAUAGCCAGUGGAACACCUGCCUGCCCCGCAAAAAGGGUAUUGGAAGAGAAGUUUGUACGCCGUGCUCAAACACAGCCCAGUGUGAGUUUUUAGCGUGUCAGUCAGUGAGUUAGAGGGAAAGGGUAAGGAGAAGCUAAUCAGGAUGAAAUGAGAUUAAAGGCUGUCUAAUUUUACAGCAACUGUGAUCCAUCAGCCACUGUGAAAGUGACAGUGGAAAUGAAUGAUGGAGACAGACAGGUGGGGCUGUACAUUUCACUGAUUUAUCCUCAAAUGCACUGGGCCUUAUUUUAUUGAGUGAACAUGACCGCAUUUAUCAUGACUGUCAUCUAAACCCACUUCCCUCCAUUUAAAAAGGUCACUUUACUAGGAGGGAGUAGGAUAGAGGCACUUUCAAAACAGAUUUAAAAUUUAAUAACACAUGUUUAUAAUCCUGUGCAAGAAUUCUCAACUUUAUUAAAGUAAGAUUUAAAAAGAAGACUAUUAAACAGAUGAAAAGAUGGGGGAAAAAAAAAACAACAACCCAUGGUCAACUGAGAAACAAGCUCAGCUACCAAGGUGAUAGGUGACAGGGAAUGACUUGAGACAGGCAGAUGUGGAUUAGAAGUAGCAAGCAGAACCCACAUGUCCUAAGCUCUCUCCCCUCACACACUUUCCAAAACUGUUACUUUUGUGCAUCCUCAGACCAAGAGAAGAAACAAAUCCAAGCAGCCCUAGAUGAGACAGUAUCCCCACCAGCCCUUUUCUCAUGCAAUUCAGACCUCCCUUAAAGUGGGAGGAAUUUUUUCAUGUACAUAUAUGCAACAGGAAGCACUUCCCAGGUUAAAAAUAAACCACUGAUCUACACUUGAGAAUGAUCUGGAAGGCAGAAGAGACAAAAACAAUGCUCAUGAAUCAAAACCCUUUCAACCAUAACAGCUGUGGUCAGCCAGAUGCCAUCAUGCUCCAAAGGCACCUCUAACUUCUGAAUGCUGAGAAUUUGAAUGAUAUCUCUCACUUAGCCCACAAACAAUGACAUCUGCUGUUUGCCUUACCCAGUUUUAUUUCAUUUCUGCCAAGAGUUGUACUUAAGUCGCUCCAAAAGUAAUGCCUCCUAUUUAUUUCCAUGGAAACUACAACAUACACAAAGAGUACAGUAACAGUAUCUGACAGAGCAAAUUUGCAGAUAUUAUAUAUUAUAAACUUUGCAAUAUUCCAACACUGGCACAAUUUGUUUCCACGUGGAGGAAUUCAGUGACACAGCCUUCCUUCACAAGCACUUCCAUGUCUGAUGCUGUUCUGUCAGACUGUCCCUCUGCUGCCAUCUGCCACAUGGCAACAAAAUGUACUGGAAUAUUGGUGGGAAGGCUCAAUAUCUAUUGCUGUACCACCAACCUCUAGUGUAAUGGGUCAACACAGUAAAAGAGGAGGCAUUACUUUCAGAGCAGAUCUUGUACAUUUAGGAAACAAUAUCUGGUUGUUCUUGAUACAUUAUCCAAGGGCCACCGAUUCCACACUUUGAUACUAACCAGCAGAGAAAAAGAGAGAACGGGAAUGGCAUGUCUAAAGACAGAAAGAGAGAUAAACGCUGGUCCCAGGUGAUCUGAACAUUGUGAUACAGCCCACAACUAUGCCCCUGCUCUGUUAAAAACUCUCAGAAACUGCACUCAAUUCUUCUAUUUAAGGACUUAAAUAAAUAAUAAUAAUAAUAAAAAAAAAACGUAGAUUUUUCACAACCCUGAAACAUUCAGCUGCUUGGGAUAUAGGACGUACUGUGAUGAAAACCAAGAAAUCUCUUCCUAAGAUGCUGCAUAGCUUGAGCACAGCCCCUUCAAGACACAGCACACACCGAAAAGUCGUGGUUAUCAUCUCUAAUGAACUGUGCAGAUGAUGCAAGAGAAGAGAGUGCUUCCAGGACCAGGAUAUCAUUACCAGAAAAUAUAAGGAGGCAAUAAUGACCUUCCACAAUAUUAGCUGCCUAACUUGUUGGAUGCAUAAUAUUCAACAAAUGCUGCUUGAAAACUGAGUCUUUCCACGUCUCUCCAGAGGGCAGAGUAACGUGAGAAGAUGUUUCAUUCCCAUACACAAGGCACCUGCAAACUCACUGUAGGAGAAUGUGAUUUGCUCAUGGCAGAAACAUAACAUUUUGUUUCCGAUCCACUCCCAAAAAUGUUAGCCAGAGGACAGUUGGUUCAAUUACUUGCUGUAAGGAGAGCAAGUAAUACUGAUUGCCUUUUCUUUGGUUCAUAAAUCAUUUGCAUGAAGACUAUAUAUUUCUACUGCAUGUUACUUGUUAUUACUCACCAAGAGGUUAUAUAAAUAAAUGCUAGAAUUCCUCUG